CAGCCGCCGCGGUAAAACCAGCACCUCAAGUGGUCAGGAUGAUUAUUGGGCCUAAAGCAUCCGUAGCUCGUUUUGUAAGUUUUCGGUUAAAUCCAUACGCUUAACGUAUGGGCUGCCGGGAAUGCUGCAUAACUAGGAAGUGGGAGAGGUAGACGGUACUCGGUAGGAAGGGGUAAAAUCCUUUGAUCUAUUGAUGACCACCUGUGGCGAAGGCGGUCUACCAGAACACGUUCGACGGUGAGGGAUGAAAGCUGGGGGAGCAAACCGGAUUAGAUACCCGGGUAGUCCCAGCUGUAAACUAUGCAAACUCAGUAAUGCAUUGGCUUGUGGCCAACGCAGUGCUGCAGGGAAGCCGUUAAGUUUGCCGCCUGGGAAGUACGUACACAAGUAUGAAACUUAAAGGAAUUGGCGGGGGAGCAC
rnacentral:rRNA from 2 species